GACGAACGCUGGCGGCGUGCCUAAUACAUGCAAGUUGAGCGCUGAAGGUUGGUACUUGUACCAACUGGAUGAGCAGCGAACGGGUGAGUAACGCGUGGGGAAUCUGCCUUUGAGCGGGGGACAACAUUUGGAAACGAAUGCUAAUACCGCAUAAAAACUUUAAACACAAGUUUUAAGUUUGAAAGAUGCAAUUGCAUCACUCAAAGAUGAUCCCGCGUUGUAUUAGCUAGUUGGUGAGGUAAAGGCUCACCAAGGCGAUGAUACAUAGCCGACCUGGGAGGGUGAUCGGCCACAUUGGGACUGAGACACGGCCCAAACUCCUACGGGAGGCAGCGGUAGGGAAUCUUCGGCAAUGGACGAAAGUCUGACCGAGCAACGCCGCGUGAGUGAAGAAGGUUUUCGGAUCGUAAAACUCUGUUGGUAGAGAAGAACGUUGGUGAGAGUGGAAAGCUCAUCAAGUGACGGUAACUACCCAGAAAGGGACGGCUAACUACGUG
rnacentral:rRNA from 1 species